UACGUAGGGGGCUAGCGUUGUCCGGAUUUAUUGGGCGUAAAGAGCGUGUAGGCGGCCAAGUAGGUCCGGUGUGAAAACUCGAGGCUUAACCUCGAGAUGUCAUCGGAAACCAUUUGGCUAGAGUCCGGAAGAGGAAAGUGGAAUUCCUGGUGUAGCGGUGAAAUGCGUAGAUAUCAGGAGGAACACCUGUGGUGUAGACGGCUUACUGGACUAUAACUGACGCUGAGGAACGAAAGCGUGGGUAGCAAACAGG
rnacentral:rRNA from 1 species